UUCGUCGUUUUUACGGAAUGGAUUGAGGGAAAGGGUCGAUUUUUGGAAUGGGAGGAGUCGAUUUUUCUACCCGGGGGGAGGGGCCUACAAAAGUGUCGUCUGCUUUGUUUUGUUUGAUUCAAUCGUUAAGCAGACGCCAGACGUCACAGACACACUUUAAAAACACAACACCAACACAGGCCUGUCACUCAACGCAAGCCACACCGGCACUUCAGACUGGUUAACGCUUGAAGAUGGACCACAGUAGAAGGUAAUGUUGGUGUGAUAAAUCUCAGAAAGCUAUUUAUUUCUACAUCAAUUACAAGAUUUGUGUUAAUAAUAUAUUGUUGAAUAAAAAUUGGACCAUAUGAGAAAGAAGAUGGAAACCUCUGAAAGAGAUGCCACUAGCUUCCACUGUCCAUGCUGUAAAAAGAAUUUCAGUGAUUCAGAAGCUGACAGACUAUUUGAUCCUGCUGACCUGAAUGGGGAAUUCAAAUGCAAUUUCUGUGGUGCAGUGGUUGUUGAAAACGAAUUAGCCAUACUAAAGAAAUAUUUACGGCAGCAAAUGGCUUGGUUCAACAACCAAAUGAGAAAAUUUCCCCUGUACAAACUACUAAGAGAAGUUGAGGAUGUGAAACUGGCCCCAGCCUUGCUUGACCAAGACCCAAUGCUGAUACAACUCAUCUGCAAUUUUCCCAAAGCUAUGCCUUAUCUACAAAUCGUCUUUCACUAUUUGUAUAAGGAAUGCCAUUGGCAAACCCAAAUUCAAGGGAGCUACUUGCGAAAAUUGGUCGGGAGAGGCAACCAGAAGAGGUGUUUUCCGACUGGAUGAACAAAGCGUCUACGUCACUAUCGGUGAUUAUGUGGUUAAUUGUCAAGAAAGGAGUUCGCAAGGAGGAUGAGAGAAAGCACCGUCGAUAAUGAAGCUGCUACCAGCACCAAUGACAAUAUUGCUGGACAUGCGAUCAUUGACGAGAUGGAGCUACCUACUCUCUCUACGGAGAAGAAUCGCAACCAAGAAGACCUCAUGUCGGUCCUUAUGGAACUCGAAAAACCAAGUAGAUACAUAGGCCGCUGUUCCAGCCAAUUCAAGUGGUGUCGAGCUGAUGGACACUAACUCGGAAGAAGAAGUUUCUCUGGUGAGAGUUGGAAACUUGGAAUUCCCUGUUCAAGAAGUCCCAGCUGAACAGGUUGCCCAGAUGGCGGCUUCCGAAAAGGAUGCCUACGUCGACUUGCACUUCUUGUAACCAUUGCUACCUCUCGAUGAAUUUGUACUAAGGCUGUUUCGAUUCCUGGUGUAAGUUGUCUACUUCUCGCCAGAGGUCCCUGGUUUUCUCGAUCUCUGUUUUCUCAAGGUGCUAUUUGCUCGGUUUCUCAAAUGUGCGAAAGGCAAAGAAAAAAUUCUUCCUUUUCCGUUUUCUCCGUCUCUUUCGUUUCUUCUUCCGUUUUGCAUCUGUGAGACUUGAGACUUCUCAAAACAAAAUUUACAAACGCUACAGAUUCGAUUACACUUUGAUUAAAUUUUUCGCCCUUUUAUUCAAAAAUUGAAUUUGGAACAUAAUCAAAUCUUUUUUUUUA